rnacentral:rRNA from 1 species
UACGUAGGGUGCAAGCGUUAAUCGGAAUUACUGGGCGUAAAGCGUGCGUAGGCGGCUGCGCAAGUCGGGUGUGAAACCCCGGGGCUCAACCCCGGAACUGCAUCCGAUACUGCGUGGCUAGAGGUAGGUAGGGGAGAUCGGAAUUCCUGGUGUAGCGGUGAAAUGCGCAGAUAUCAGGAGGAACACCGGUGGCGAAGGCGGAUCUCUGGGCCUUACCUGACGCUCAGGCACGAAAGCUAGGGGAGCGAACAGG